UACAGAGGGGGCAAGCGUUGUUCGGAAUUACUGGGCGUAAAGGGCGCGUAGGCGGCCUCUUAAGUCGAACGUGAAAUCCCCGGGCUCAACCCGGGAACUGCGUCCGAUACUGGGAGGCUUGAAUCCGGGAGAGGGAUGUGGAAUUCCAGGUGUAGCGGUGAAAUGCGUAGAUAUCUGGAGGAACACCGGUGGCGAAGGCGGCAUCCUGGACCGGUAUUGACGCGUGAGGCGCGAAAAGCUAGGGGAGCAAACGGGAUUAGAAAACCCC
rnacentral:rRNA from 1 species